UACGUAGGGUGCGAGCGUUGUCCGGAAUUAUUGGGCGUAAAGAGCUCGUAGGCGGUCUGUCGCGUCGAUCGUGAAAACUUGGGGCUUAACCCUGAGCUUGCGGUCGAUACGGGCAUGACUGGAGUUCGGCAGGGGAGACUGGAAUUCCUGGUGUAGCGGUGAAAUGCGCAGAUAUCAGGAGGAACACCGGUGGCGAAGGCGGUCUCUGGCAGUGAACUGACGCUGGAGGAGCGAAGCGUGGGAGCGAACAGG
rnacentral:rRNA from 1 species